rnacentral:rRNA from 1 species
UACGAAGGGGGCUAGCGUUGCUCGGAAUCACUGGGCGUAAAGGGUGCGUAGGCGGGUCUUUAAGUCAGGGGUGAAAUCCUGGAGCUCAACUCCAGAACUGCCUUUGAUACUGAGGAUCUUGAGUAUGGGAGAGGUGAGUGGAAUGCCGAGUGUAGAGGUGAAAUUCGUAGAUAUUCGGCGGAACACCGGUGGCGAAGGCGGGGUCUCUGGGCAGUAACUGACGCUGAGGAGCGAAAGCGUGGGGAGCGAAACAGG